UACGUAGGCAGCGAGCGUUGUUCGGAAUUACUGGGCGUAAAGAGUGUGUAGGCGGUGCUCUAAGUCUGGUGUGAAAGCCCCCGGCUCAACUGGGGAGGGUCAUUCGAUACUGAUCGACUGGAAGGCAGGAGAGGGAAGCGGAAUUCCCGGUGUAGUGGUGAAAUGCGUAGAUAUCGGGAGGAACACCAGUGGCGAAGGCGGCUUCCUGGCCUGUUCUUGACGCUGAGGCGCGAAAGCUAGGGGAGCAAACGGG
rnacentral:rRNA from 1 species